AGCCAGCAGCCGCGGUAAUUCCAGCUCCAAUAGCGUAUAUUAAAGUUGUUGCAGUUAAAAAGCUCGUAGUUGAAUUUCGGGAUCAAAGAAUCGGUCAUGCCUUGGUAUGUACUGGUUUUAUUGGUUCUCACCUUCUAAAGAACCAUGAUGUCAUUCAUUUGAUGUUAUGGGGAAUUAGGACUGUUGCCUUGAAAAAAUUAGAGUGUUUAAAGCAAGCUUACGCUUGAAUACAUUAACAUGGAAUAAUGAAAUAGGACAUCAGAUUCUAUUUUGUUGGUUUCUAGGAUCGAUGUAAUGAUUAAUAGGGAUAGUUGGGGGCAUUAGUAUUCAAUUGUCAGAGGUGAAAUUCUUGGAUUUAUUGAAGACUAACUACUGCGAAAGCAUUUGCCAAGGAUGUUUUCAUUAAUCAAGAACUAAAGUUACGGGAUCGAAGACGAUCAGAUACCGUGCGUAUCUUAACCAUAAACUAUGCCGACUAGGGAUCGGAUGAUGUUAAUUUUUUA
rnacentral:rRNA from 1 species